rnacentral:rRNA from 1 species
GACGAACGCUGGCGGCGUGCUUAACACAUGCAAGUCGAACGGAAAGGCCCUGCUUUUGUGGGGUGCUCGAGUGGCGAACGGGUGAGCAACACGUGAGUAACCUGCCCUUGACUUUGGGAUAACUUCAGGAAACUGGGGCUAAUACCGGAUAGGAGCUCCUGCUGCAUGGUGGGGGUUGGAAAGUUUCGGCGGUUGGGGAUGGACUCGCGGCUUAUCAGCUUGUUGGUGGGGUAGUGGCUUACCAAGGCUUUGACGGGUAGCCGGCCUGAGAGGGUGACCGGCCACAUUGGGACUGAGAUACGGCCCAGACUCCUACGGGAGGCAGCAGUGGGGAAUAUUGCACAAUGGGCGGAAGCCUGAUGCGGCAACGCCGCGUGCGGGAUGACGGCCUUCGGGUUGUAAACCGCUUUCGCCUGUGACGAAGCGUGAGUGACGGUAAUGGGUAAAGAAGCACCGGCUAACUACGUGCCAGCAGCCGCGGUGAUACGUAGGGUGCGAGCGUUGUCCGGAUUUAUUGGGCGUAAAGGGCUCGUAGGUGGUUGAUCGCGUCGGAAGUGUAAUCUUGGGGCUUAACCCUGAGCGUGCUUUCGAUACGGGUUGACUUGAGGAAGGUAGGGGAGAAUGGAAUUCCUGGUGGAGCGGUGGAAUGCGCAGAUAUCAGGAGGAACACCAGUGGCGAAGGCGGUUCUCUGGGCCUUUCCUGACGCUGAGGAGCGAAAGCGUGGGGAGCGAACAGGCUUAGAUACCCUGGUAGUCCACGCUGUAAACGGUGGGUACUAGGUGUGGGGUCCAUUCCACGGGUUCCGUGCCGUAGCUAACGCUUUAAGUACCCCGCCUGGGGAGUACGGCCGCAAGGCUAAAACUCAAAGGAAUUGACGGGGCCCCGCACAAGCGGCGGAGCAUGCGGAUUAAUUCGAUGCAACGCGUAGAACCUUACCUGGGUUUGACAUGGAUCGGGAGCGCUCAGAGAUGGGUGUGCCUCUUUUGGGGUCGGUUCACAGGUGGUGCAUGGCUGUCGUCAGCUCGUGUCGUGAGAUGUUGGGUUAAGUCCCGCAACGAGCGCAACCCUUGUUCACUGUUGCCAGCACGUUAUGGUGGGGACUCAGUGGAGACCGCCGGGGUCAACUCGGAGGAAGGUGGGGACGACGUCAAGUCAUCAUGCCCCUUAUGUCCAGGGCUUCACGCAUGCUACAAUGGCUGGUACAGAGAGUGGCGAGCCUGUGAGGGUGAGCGAAUCUCGGAAAGCCGGUCUCAGUUCGGAUUGGGGUCUGCAACUCGACCUCAUGAAGACGGAGUCGCUAGUAAUCGCAGAUCAGCAACGCUGCGGUGAAUACGUUCCCGGGGCU